rnacentral:rRNA from 1 species
GCAAGUCGAACGGUAACAUGAGAGCUUGCUCUUGAUGACGAGUGGCGAACGGGUGCGUAACGCGUAUACAACUUGCCUACUACAGAAGGAUAGCCCAGAGAAAUUUGGAUUAAUACUUCAUGGUACUAUAAGAUGGCAUCAUUUAAUAGUUAAAGAAUUUCGGUAGUAGAUGGGUAUGCGUCUGAUUAGUUAGUUGGUAGGGUAACGGCCUACCAAGACAAUGAUCAGUAGGGGUUCUGAGAGGAAGAUC